GUGGAUUAGAUACCCUGGUAGUCCACGCCCUAAACGAUGCUCACUAGGUGUUGGGGAAGCGAUUCCUUGGUACCGUAGCUAACGCGUGAAGUGAGCCGCCUGGGGAGUACGGCCGCAAGGUUAAAACUCAAAGGAAUUGACGGGGACCCGCACAAGCGGUGGAUGAUGUGGAUUAAUUCGAUGCAACGCGAACAACCUUACCUACCCUUGACAUGUCCGGAAUCCUGCUGAGAGGCGGGGGUGCUCGAAAGAGAACCGGAACACAGGUGCUGCAUGGUUGUCGUCAACU
rnacentral:rRNA from 1 species